rnacentral:rRNA from 1 species
UACGGGGGGAGCAAGCGUUGUUCGGAUUCAUUGGGCGUAAAGGGCGCGUAGGCGGCGGGGUAAGUCUGGUGUGAAAUCUCGGAGCUCAACUCCGAAAUUGCACUGGAUACUGCUCUGCUAGAGGGCUGGAGAGGAGAUCGGAAUUCACGGUGUAGCAGUGAAAUGCGUAGAUAUCGUGAGGAAGACCAGUGGCGAAGGCGGAUCUCUGGACAGCUCCUGACGCUGAGGCGCGAAGGCUAGGGGAGCAAACGGG